CCUACGGGAGGCUGCAGUGAGGAAUAUUGGUCAAUGGACGGAAGUCUGAACCAGCCAUGCCGCGUGCAGGAAGACGGCUCUAUGAGUUGUAAACUGCUUUUGUACAAGGGUAAACCUGAAUACGUGUAUUCAGCUGAAAGUACUGUACGAAUAAGGAUCGGCUAACUCCGUGCCAGCAGCCGCGGUAAUACGGAGGAUCCAAGCGUUAUCCGGAUUUAUUGGGUUUAAAGGGUGCGUAGGCGGAUUGAUAAGUUAGAGGUGAAAUGUCCGAGCUUAACUCGGGAACUGCCUCUAAUACUGUUGAUCUAGAGAGUAGAUGCGGUAGGCGGAAUGCGCGGUGUAGCGGUGAAAUGCUUAGAUAUCGCGCAGAACCCCGAUUGCGAAGGCAGCGUACCGGCUCCACACUGACGCUGAGGCACGAAAGCGUGGGUAUCGAACAGGAUUAGAUACCCGAGUAGUC
rnacentral:rRNA from 1 species